AUCACCUACGGGACGCAGGAGUGAGGAAUAUUGGUCAAUGGGAGAGAUCCUGAACCAACCAAGCCGCGUGAGGGAAGACGGCCCUAUGGGUUGUAAACCUCUUUUGUCGGAGAACAAAACCCGGGACGUGUCCCGGACUGCGUGUAUCCGAAGAAAAAGCAUCGGCUAACUCCGUGCCAGCAGGCGCGGUAAUACGGAGGAUGCGAGCGUUAUCCGGAUUUAUUGGGUUUAAAGGGCGCGUAGGCGGUCCGUUAAGUCAGC
rnacentral:rRNA from 1 species